GGGACACGUGGUAUCCUGUCUGAAUAUGGGGGGACCAUCCUCCAAGGCUAAAUACUCCUGACUGACCGAUAGUGAACCAGUACCGUGAGGGAAAGGCGAAAAGAACCCCGGCGAGGGGAGUGAAAAAGAACCUGAAACCGUGUACGUACAAGCAGUGGGAGCACGCUUAGGCGUGUGACUGCGUACCUUUUGUAUAAUGGGUCAGCGACUUAUAUUCUGUAGCAAGGUUAACCGAAUAGGGGAGCCGAAGGGAAACCGAGUCUUAACUGGGCGUUAAGUUGCAGGGUAUAGACCCGAAACCCGGUGAUCUAGCCAUGGGCAGGUUGAAGGUUGGGUAACACUAACUGGAGGACCGAACCGACUAAUGUUGAAAAAUUAGCGGAUGACUUGUGGCUGGGGGUGAAAGGCCAAUCAAACCGGGAGAUAGCUGGUUCUCCCCGAAAGCUAUUUAGGUAGCGCCUCGUGAAUUCAUCUCCGGGGGUAGAGCACUGUUUCGGCAAGGGGGUCAUCCCGACUUACCAACCCGAUGCAAACUGCGAAUACCGGAGAAUGUUAUCACGGGAGACACACGGCGGGUGCUAACGUCCGUCGUGAAGAGGGAAACAACCCAGACCGCCAGCUAAGGUCCCAAAGUCAUGGUUAAGUGGGAAACGAUGUGGGAAGGCCCAGACAGCCAGGAUGUUGGCUUAGAAGCAGCCAUCAUUUAAAGAAAGCGUAAUAGCUCACUGGUCGAGUCGGCCUGCGCGGAAGAUGUAACGGGGCUAAACCAUGCACCGAAGCUGCGGCAGCGACGCUUAUGCGUUGUUGGGUAGGGGAGCGUUCUGUAAGCCUGCGAAGGUGUGCUGUGAGGCAUGCUGGAGGUAUCAGAAGUGCGAAUGCUGACAUAAGUAACGAUAAAGCGGGUGAAAAGCCCGCUCGCCGGAAGACCAAGGGUUCCUGUCCAACGUUAAUCGGGGCAGGGUGAGUCGACCCCUAAGGCGAGGCCGAAAGGCGUAGUCGAUGGGAAACAGGUUAAUAUUCCUGUACUUGGUGUUACUGCGAAGGGGGGACGGAGAAGGCUAUGUUGGCCGGGCGACGGUUGUCCCGGUUUAAGCGUGUAGGCUGGUUUUCCAGGCAAAUCCGGAAAAUCAAGGCUGAGGCGUGAUGACGAGGCACUACGGUGCUGAAGCAACAAAUGCCCUGCUUCCAGGAAAAGCCUCUAAGCAUCAGGUAACAUCAAAUCGUACCCCAAACCGACACAGGUGGUCAGGUAGAGAAUACCAAGGCGCUUGAGAGAACUCGGGUGAAGGAACUAGGCAAAAUGGUGCCGUAACUUCGGGAGAAGGCACGCUGAUAUGUAGGUGAAGUCCCUCGCGGAUGGAGCUGAAAUCAGUCGAAGAUACCAGCUGGCUGCAACUGUUUAUUAAAAACACAGCACUGUGCAAACACGAAAGUGGACGUAUACGGUGUGACGCCUGCCCGGUGCCGGAAGGUUAAUUGAUGGGGUUAGCGCAAGCGAAGCUCUUGAUCGAAGCCCCGGUAAACGGCGGCCGUAACUAUAACGGUCCUAAGGUAGCGAAAUUCCUUGUCGGGUAAGUUCCGACCUGCACGAAUGGCGUAAUGAUGGCCAGGCUGUCUCCACCCGAGACUCAGUGAAAUUGAACUCGCUGUGAAGAUGCAGUGUACCCGCGGCAAGACGGAAAGACCCCGUGAACCUUUACUAUAGCUUGACACUGAACAUUGAGCCUUGAUGUGUAGGAUAGGUGGGAGGCUUUGAAGUGUGGACGCCAGUCUGCAUGGAGCCGACCUUGAAAUACCACCCUUUAAUGUUUGAUGUUCUAACGUGGACCCGUAAUCCGGGUUGCGGACAGUGUCUGGUGGGUAGUUUGACUGGGGCGGUCUCCUCCUAAAGAGUAACGGAGGAGCACGAAGGUUGGCUAAUCCUGGUCGGACAUCAGGAGGUUAGUGCAAUGGCAUAAGCCAGCUUGACUGCGAGCGUGACGGCGCGAGCAGGUGCGAAAGCAGGUCAUAGUGAUCCGGUGGUUCUGAAUGGAAGGGCCAUCGCUCAACGGAUAAAAGGUACUCCGGGGAUAACAGGCUGAUACCGCCCAAGAGUUCAUAUCGACGGCGGUGUUUGGCACCUCGAUGUCGGCUCAUCACAUCCUGGGGCUGAAGUAGGUCCCAAGGGUAUGGCUGUUCGCCAUUUAAAGUGGUACGCGAGCUGGGUUUAGAACGUCGUGAGACAGUUCGGUCCCUAUCUGCCGUGGGCGCUGGAGAACUGAGGGGGGCUGCUCCUAGUACGAGAGGACCGGAGUGGACGCAUCACUGGUGUUCGGGUU
rnacentral:rRNA from 1 species